AUGGGAAGAACAUGUGUGUUUGUUCAUCAUGGGGACAAAGACGCCUUUUUGAAAGGCAAUAUAGAACCGGACCCGGAUGAGCUUGACAUGGUGUUUGAUAGUAGUCCUAGCUAUGCGGAGCUCUUGCAACAAGUUAGGAAAGAUUUGCAUUGGAUGGACCCUAGUGAUAUCAUUGAGUUGGAGGGAAGGCAUAAUGUUGGUUUUGGAAUGCACAUCCGUUGGAAGACAAUGCGUGUCAACUCGGAGCAACGUUGGGUUGCAUACAAGGAGACGGUGGCCGAAUCACUAGACAAGGCUCUUGAGUUAUUUGCAACGAAGAAGGUUGAUUCAAGUUUGCAUUUGGACUUGAACCGGAACCCCUCCCCUUUGGUUGCUAGUAGCCCCCCACCCUUGAAGCGAGAUGAAAUUGUUGAACCUCUUUUGACCCAAGAAGUGAGGCCAACAUUGAGCCCGUUUACAAACAACCAAGAUGAAGCAUUGCAAGAGGACAAUGAUGAGUAUGCGGACGAUGACAAUGAAGUUGAUCUCCAUGACAACAAUGUGGGUGAUCUCGAUAAAUAUCAUUUGCAAGAGACAAUGGACCAUUCCAUCCCUUUUUCCCGUGCAUAUGCAUCGGACUUGGAUGACAAUGGUCCCGAUGAACCAGUUGAUGCGGAGGGGUUCACGGUGAAGGAGGCCGAAGCUUUCGAGAAGGUAUUUGGUCGGGAUCAUCGGACUACAUUGUUCAAGGAUGUUAGUCUCGCGGAUGAAGCCGUGGUAGAUGGUGGCCAAUGUGUACCUCUUGGGGUUAGGCCAAGCUCUCACCGUGAUUUGGUAGACGACAAGAACCGGAUUGCUAAAGGUUCUAAGUUCGACACCUUGUUGGAAUUGAAGAUGUGGCUCGACAACUACUCGGUUACGCAUUAUCGUCCACACAAGGUGGUGAACUCGGACGUCAAUGUGCGCUACAUAGUUGCAUGUGCAUGUGAAGAUGAAAUAUGUCUAUGGAUUGUGCGUGCAAGACCAUGGAAAGGAGGUCCAACUUGGCAUGUAGUGAGUUGUGUGCCAACUCACUUGUGCCAAGGCAAAAGGUUGGAUGGCAAGAUUGUGUCCCAAGACCACAAACAACUCACGUCCGAGUUCAUCGCUUACAGGCUCUCCAACUCAAUAUCCACACUUCCAACAAUGAGCGUCCAACAUGUCAUUGAUCUUGUGAAAGCCAUCUUUCAUUACAAGGUGAAAUGCGGCAAGGCAUGGAAGGCGAAGCAAGCCGCAUUUAAGAUGUUGUAUGGUACAUGGGAGGAAGCAUACAACCGAAUCCCUAGGUUGUUGUUAGCCAUGGCCGCGACAAAACCGGGCAUGGUUCAUGUGGUCGAGCCUCAUGGGCACCAAACAACGGUUCAUGAAGGAAGGAAAGUCAGAGUAUUUGGCCGUGCUUUUUGGGCGUUCGAGCAAUGUGUGAGGGCUUUCGAACAUUGUAGGCCGGUCAUCGCAAUUGAUGGCAUGUUCUUGACCGGACAAUACAAGGGCACCUUGUUGGUUGCGAUAGCAAGUGAUGCCAAUAACCGGGUGUUACCAUUGGCAUUUGCUUUUGUUGAGGUGGAAAACAAUGACAACUGGGAGUGGUUUCUGCAUCUUUUGAGGACGAAGGUGUUACCCGCUCAAAGGGAAAUUUGUGUCAUAUCGGAUCGGCAUCCAGGAAUUCUUAACGCGGUGGAGAUUGACAUUCCCGGGCAUGCUCCGUUGCACCAUCGAUGGUGCAUGAGGCACUUUUGUUCGAACUUCUAUAGGGCAUGUGGCCUUAAGGAGUUGGCCGAUGAUCUUCAAGAUUGUUGUCUCGCUUUCUCCGAUAAGAGCUCCGCCACUUUGUACAACAAAUUGCUCGCACACAAAAAACUUGAUCCCGGGGGUCAAGACUUUCUCAAUAGACACAUUCAAUACCGGAACAAGUGGGCACAUGCUUUUGAUGAAGAUGGCCGGAGAUAUGGUCAAAUGACAAGCAAUAUGGCCGAAUGCUUCAAUAGGGUGCUCAAAGGUGCACGUGGAUUACCCGUGACGGCAAUAGUUCAAUACACAUUUGACAAGAUGAAUGCGUACUUUUUAAAGUACUCGAUGGAAACCGAUGCACAAAUAGCGGGUGAGAACCCACGGAAGUACAAGUACAAGUUCCCACCCAAAGUUGAUGAAUGGUUGGUAUUUCAAUCACGGAAGUGUUUGUGCAGCGCCUAG
rnacentral:rRNA from 1 species